rnacentral:piRNA from 1 species
UUCAGAAAGUGACUUCAUCCCCUCAC